UACGUAGGAGGCAAGCGUUGUCCGGAUUUAUUGGGCGUAAAGAGCGUGUAGGCGGUUUGGUAGGUCCGCUGUGAAAACUCGAGGCUCAACCUCGAGACGCCGGUGGAAACCAUCAGGCUAGAGUCCGGAAGAGGAGAGUGGAAUUCCUGGUGUAGCGGUGAAAUGCGCAGAUAUCAGGAAGAACACCCGUGGCUAAGGCGGCUCUCUAGUACGGUACUGACGCUGAGACGCGAAAGCGUGGGGAGCGAACAGG
rnacentral:rRNA from 1 species